ensembl:misc_RNA 7SK 7SK RNA
AGAUGUGAGAGUGAUCUGGCUGCAACAUCUGUCACUCCAUUGAUCGCCAGGGUGGAUUCCGCUGAUCUGGCUGACUAGGUGGGUGUCCCCCUCCUCCCUCACCAAUUCAUGUGCAUCCCUCCCUAAGCUGCAUGCUCCAUAGUCGAAGAGGAGAGGACCCGUCUUCAGUCAAGGGUAUACAAGUAGCUGUGCUCCCCUGCUAGAACCUCCAAACAUGCUCUCAAGAAGUACGAAUUGGUGGAUGCAAAAUAGUCAUGGUGCUGUAAAGACAGCAUAUGGAAUAUGGUCAUAUUACUAUUGU